rnacentral:rRNA from 1 species
UACGUAGGGGGCAAGCGUUGUCCGGAUUUAUUGGGCGUAAAGAGCGUGUAGGCGGCCGCACAGGUCCGUUGUGAAAACUGGAGGCUUAACCUUCAGACGUCGAUGGAAACCGUGCGGCUAGAGUCCGGAAGAGGAGAAUGGAAUUCCUGGUGUAGCGGUGAAAUGCGCAGAUAUCGGGAAGAACACCCAUGGCGAAGGCAGCUCUCUGGGACGGUACUGACGCUGAGACGCGAAAGCGUGGGGAGCGAACAGG